AGUCGAACGGCAGCACGGAGCUUGCUCUGCCUGGCGAGGGGCGAAGGGGUGAGUAAUAUAUCGAAACGUACCCUUGAGUGGGGGAUAACGUAACGAAAGUUACGCUAAUACCGCAUACGAUCUAAGGAUGAAAGUGGGAGAUCGCAAGACCUCAUGCUCGUGGAGCGGCCGAUAUCUGAUUAGCUAGUUGGUAGGGUAAAAGCCUACCAAGGCUCGAUCAAUAGCUGGUCUGAGAGGACGACCAGCCACACUGGAACUGAGACACGGACAGACUCCUACGGGAGGCAGCAGUGGGGAAUUUUGGACAAUGGGCGAAAGCCUGAUCCAGCAAUGCCGCGUGAGUGAGAAGGCCUUCGGGUUGUAAAGCUCUUUUGUCAGGGAAGAAACGAUGAGAGCUAAUAUCUCUUGCUAAUGACGGUACCUGAAGAAUAAGCACCGGCUAACUACGUGCCAGCAGCCGCGGUAAUACGUAGGGUGCAAGCGUUAAUCGGAAUUACUGGGCGUAAAGCGUGCGCAGGCGGAUUUGUAAGUCUGAUGUGAAAUCCCCGGGCUCAACCUGGGAAUUGCAUUGGAGACUGCAAGGCUAGAAUCUGGCAGAGGGGGGUAGAAUUCCACGUGUAGCAGUGAAAUGCGUAUAUAUGUGGAGGAACACCGAUGGCGAAGGCAGCCCCCUGGCUCAAGAUUGACGCUCAUGCACGAAAAGCGUGGGGAGCAAACAGAGAUUAGAUACCCUGAUACUCCACGCCCUAAACGAUGUACUACUAGUUGUCGGGUCUUAAUUGACUUGGUAACGCAGCUAUACGCGUGAAGUACGACCGCCUGGGGAGUAC
rnacentral:rRNA from 1 species